AUUGAACGCUUGCGGCAGGCCUAACACAUGCAAGUCGAGCGAGCGGCGGACGGGUGAGUAAUGUAUGGGGACUGCCCGAUAGAGGGGGAUAACUACUGGAAACGGUAGCUAAUACCGCAUACUAUCGGAUAACCCAUAUGGGAUUAGCUAGUAGGUGAGGUAAUGGCUCACCUAGGCGACGAUCCCUAUCUGGUCUGCGAGGAUGAUCAGCCACACUGUGACUGGAAGACGGACGAGACUCCUACGGAGGCAGAAGAGGAGAAUAUUGCACAAUGGGCGCAAGCCUGAUGCAGGCAUGCCGCGUGUGUGAAGAAGGCCCUAGGGUUGUAAAGUAAUUUCAGUCGGGAGGCGUUACCGACAGAGGAAGCACCGGCUAAAUCCGUGCCAGCAGCCGCGGUAAUAC
rnacentral:rRNA from 1 species